CACCAAUCUAAGUGAUUUUGACUGCUGUGUGAUCGGUAUGUAAACCGGUAACAGAAUUUAGUAGGUUUAGCUUCCUACAUAAAGGAGAUAUAUCG